rnacentral:lncRNA from 1 species
UCGAUAUUCUGACCAUCAUGACUGUAGAUAAAUAUUCAUACAGAAUUCCAUUGAUGUCAAAAGGGAUGGCAAAAAAAGAGUUUUCCUGUUGAAUAAAACCCAAAAUUAUUGCAAACUAUUUUGAAAGCAAUAUCCCACAAAGAAAUAACGUAAUUGCCGUAGACUGGAAAAUCCCCUAAUUGACAGUAGAGCAAUUUGAUUGGGUAGAACGAAUUGACAUCACGUGAUUUUGACGCCAUUGAAAUUUAAAUGUAAACAAACAAGGUCAGAAGGUUCAGUAUGGGACAGCAUCGUACAUUUAGUUACUGACAAAUAAUUAUGAGUUACCAAGCUUGACAAUGCAUGGUAAUAAAAAAUGAAAGCUAAGUGUACAGAAAAAAUAAGAAAAAAAUAGCCUUAGGAUAACGACUUAUCAUUACACCUGGAUAUAUUAG